rnacentral:rRNA from 1 species
AAGUCGAACGCAGUAGCAAUACUGAGUGGCAGACGGGUGAGUAACAUGUGGGAAUCUGCCUUGUGGUUCAGGACAACAUUGGGAAACCGAUGCUAAUACUGGAUAAGCCCUUAUGGGGAAAGUUUUAAUGCCAUAAGAUGAGCCCGCAUUUGAUUAGUUAGUUGGUGAGGUAAUGGCUCACCAAGACAAUGAUCAAUAGCUGAUCUGAGAGGAUGAUCAGCCACACUGGGACUGAGACACGGCCCAGACUCCUACGGGAGGCAGCAGUGGGGAAUCUUGCACAAUGGAGGAAACUCUGAUGCAGCGAUGCCGCGUGAGCGAAGAAGGCCUUUGGGUUGUAAAGCUCUUUUGUAGGGGGAGAUAAUGACUGUACCCUAAGAAUAAGGUCCGGCUAACUUCGUGCCAGCAGCCGCGGUAAUACGAAGGGACCUAGCGUAGUUCGGAAUUACUGGGCGUAAAGCGCGCGUAGGCCGUUGAGUUAGUUAAUUGUGAAAUCCCAAAGCUUAACUUUGGAACUGCAAUUAAAACUGCUCGACUAGAGUUUGAUAGAGGAAAGCGGAAUACAUAGUGUAGAGGUGAAAUUCGUAGAUAUUAUGUAGAACACCAGUUGCGAAGGCGGCUUUCUGGAUCA